rnacentral:rRNA from 1 species
UACGUAGGGGGCUAGCGUUGUCCGGAAUCAUUGGGCGUAAAGCGCGUGUAGGCGGUCCGGUAAGUCCGCUGUGAAAGUCGGGGGCUCAACCCUCGAAUGCCGGUGGAUACUGUCGGGCUAGAGUGCGGAAGAGGCGGAGUGGAAUUCCUGGGUGUAGCGGUGAAAUGACGCAGAUAUCAGGAGGAACACCAAUUGCGAAGGCAGCUCGCUGGGACGUAACUGACGCGUGAGAACGCGGAAAGCGUGGGGAGCAAACAGG